ensembl:lncRNA
AUGUGUGAAUGGAAUUCUGAACUAAUUACACAAACAAAUCAAACCUUCCUAACACUGUGUUGUGCUCUGAAUGUGUUUUUUUUUUUUUUUUUAAUAGUGACUCAUUUGUUGGGGGACGUUCCUCAAGAGGCCUUCCUGUUACCUUUCUGGGCCCACGUGAAAAUGGUCCAAGGUUUUCAGAGGACACAGGAGAAAUCAACUUAUAUGUGUAUUCUGAUAGUGAUGAGGAGAGUGACUCGCCUUCUACAUUUCACUAGGCCAGUCUAAAAGUCUGUUCUGUUAGACUUAAAAAUGCAUUAAGUAGAACUUAAGUAAAAAUCACAUCCUGUGGUAAAAGGUGAUUACUGCUACCAUGUCAAACAACUCUGAAGCUUUUUGCCGGCAUUCGUCAAAUUACAAUUGUCGGCGCUGCAGUAUUAGCUCACAGGAGAUGGUAACAGUAUUUACAUGCCUCCUUCCUUUGUUUUGAAUGAAGAAAAACUGAUGAUCCCUGCAGCGUGCUGAAUAUGAAAUAUGUUUUGGUGUAACUGUCCUUCCAAAAUGAUAACACUAGACUCUCUUGGGAUUUUCUCACUGGAAAAUUUUCACUAUAUUCGUACAUUCUGCACCUUUAAGCAUUUGUAGUUCUUUUGAAACAGUUAUUGUUAGUAGGCUGCGCCUUUUAAUGUUUUGUGCCAUGUGAAUGGAAACAAAAUAAGGGAAAUGUUUUUUUUUUUUUUUUUCAGUUUCUCUUCCAUUUCCCUUCAAUCUGCUUAACGGUUUAGUUCCUUUUCAAACCAGAAACUUCAGGUCAAGACUGGUUUGAGAUUCUAGAAACAAAUUUAAGUUAGAGUUCCAAUAAAAUGUCUUUAAGGGUCUGAUUUAUCUGCUUCUUCUUUGAAUGGACAAGAACCUUUUUAAUGACAAGACCUCAUUCCUUUAAAGUGCUUUGAUUGGUCAAUGGUCACCGUUGAAAAUCGGACUCGAUCAAGUGAUUUUGAAAGGAUAAGAAACGGGUGGAAAAGAUGAGAUUUAACCUUUAAAAACAACAAACCAUCCAUCCAUCCUCUUCCGCUUGUCCGGAGGCGGGUCGCGGGGGCAACAGCCUAAGUCAAGAAGUCCUGACUUCCCUCGACCCAGUCACUUGAGCCAGCUCAUCUGAGAGAAUCCCAAGUCGUUCCCUGGUCAGGUGGGAGACAUAGUCCCUCCAAUGUGUCCUGGCUCUCCCUUUAGGUCUCCUCCCGGUUGGAUGUGCCCAGAAAGCCUAACCAAGGAGGCAUCCUAAUCAGAGUCCUAAGCCACCACAAUGGACUCCUUAUCGAUGUGGAGGAGCAGUGGAUCUACUCCAAGCUUCUCCUGGAUGACCAAACUUCUCAUCACAUAUCUAAAGGAGAGCUCGGAGACCCUGCGGAGAAAACUCAUUUCAGCCGCUUGUAUCCGUGAUCCCGUUCUUUCGGUCACUUCCCAAAGCUCAUGGCCAAAGGUGAGGGUAGGAACGUAGAUCGACUGGAAAAUCGAGAGCCUCGCCAUAUGGCUUGGCUCUCUUUUCACCACGACAGACCGGUCCAAUUUCCAAUCACUGCAGACACAGCACCAAUCCGCCAAUCAAUCUUGCACUCCAGCUUUCCAUUACUCAUGAACAAGACCCUGAGAUAAUUUAAUUCCUCCAUUUGUGUAAGACCUCAUCUUUGAUUCAGAGAAGGCGUUACGACCUGUUCAAAAUAACAAACAUGACUUUAAAUUCGUCCUGAGAUAGCUAAUAGAGGUUUUUGGGUCCUUUUGGCCAGAAAAAUGCUUUUGAGCAACUCAAAAGUAAAGCACACAUCAACUCAUAGAGCUACAACGUUUCAGUGGUCUUGCAAGAGCCCCGGGAGACGGGAGCAGCUGGACGCCUUUGUCUAUAAGCUGUUCCCACACGGGAGAAGCCGGGAGCUCACCUUGACAUUAGCUUCAUGCUAACUUGAAUCCAACUGAGGUUUUCAGUUUCUUUUAGCGAGAAAAACAGUUGAGCGACUACUCAAAGUGAUGCAGUUUUUCUAUGGUCUUCAGAGAGCUCCACAGCCGACCAGCACAACUACAGGGUGGGCCUUUUAUAUGGAGACACCUUAAUAAAAUGGGAAUGGUUGGUGAUAUUAACGUCCUGUUUGUGGCACAUUAGUAUAUGUGAGGGGGCAAACUUUUCAAGAUGGGUGGUGACCAUGGUGGCCAUUUUAAAGUCGGCCAUCUUGGAUCCAACUUUUUUUUUUUUCAAUAGGAAGAAAGUUGCAUUGACAAUCCGUCACAAUGGGCAGCACAUUGAACUCAUUUUAUAAGUGGUUAGAAACUUGAAAAUAACUCAUGAAAAAAUAAAGUUACUUUAAAGCCAGGCACACCAUUGUUUUUCUUGUGAAAUUUCCAAUAAGUUUAAUGUGUCACAUGAUCCUCUUCCUAUUAAAAAAACAAAAGUUGGAUCCUAGAUGGCCGACUUAAAAAUGGCCACCAUGCGCGACAAAAUUAAUGUCAAGUCAAUGGGGCUAAAAGAGCUAUUUUCUAAUUUGCUUUGCCUUAGGCCCUGGAUAUGUUGUACUUCUAUUUACAUGAAAACUAAUGAUGGGUGUUUCGACCAUGCCUGUCACGUACUUUUGAGAUUUAUCAGCUUGUAAAAGUUCGUAAUUAGCAUAACUACUAAUUAGACAUUGACACGUUGCAUAUAUGACAUCACCACAGAAUCUCUUCUCUAGCGUAGCUGCUACUUACCACAUGGCCAGAUUUAUGGUGUUUUUUUCCACCUGAAGGAAUAUGUUUGAUAAACUUACAGCUAUUUUCCCUGUUUUUCUCCAUUUCCGGUUUGAUGAGGUCACUUUCGUGAUGAACAUUUGAAGUCCUUGACUUAUUUUCACACAAAACCUAAAAUUACGUUUUCCCCGUUCGAAAAAAAGCAUUUUCUUGGUAUCAAUAUGUCUUUAAAAUCACGAACACCAUAUGUGGAAUCUGUAGCACAUAACAAACUGGAUUAGAGAAUAACGUUUUUAGUCCCAUUGGCUUGCAUUCAGUUUUUUAUUUUUUAUUUUAUUUAUUUAUUAUUAUUUUUUUUUUUUUUUUUUUUUUUUUUUUUUUUUUUUUUUUUUUUUUUUUUUUUUUUUUGGGGUCCCAUGGUCCGGAUGUAGAUGACUAAUGGGCCAUUCCCAUCUGUAUCGGGUCGGCCCGGGCCGGGUAGCAUAGGUUGUUUACAUAUCUGGGUGGCCUGGUAUUUUUCCGGGCCAACCAAGGCUCAUUCUCAGCCCUCUUCUCGAGGGGGUCUGCUUCAGGCCGACCAGGGCUAACACACCCACUGCUGACAGCAAAUUCACACCUUCCAUUAGAGCAAGCCUCUGAUUGGUGGGUAGAAUCAGCCCACAUGGGCUUAAGACAAGGAUGUGUGGAAUCAACCGGGCCAGGCUGGGGCCGACUGGGGCUACCCGACCCGGUACAGAUGGGAAUGGCCCAUUAGGCUCCCUGUCGAACCGUGCCCCCAGACCAAUUGCGCCUCCCUCCAACCGGCUUUGGAGGAUAGAGUCCCAGGUGUGUGACAGGGUUUAUGCCCCCUCAUCC